rnacentral:tRNA from 1 species
GUGAAAAUAAUUCAAUAGGUAGAAUAUUAACCUUGGCAAGGUUAAAGUUAAGGGUUCAAAUCCCUUUUUUCGCU